GGCCACGUGGCGGAGUGGUUACGCAGCGGUCUGCAAAACCGUUUACACCAGUUCAAUUCUGGUCGUGGCCUCCA
rnacentral:tRNA from 24 species